UACGUAGGGCGCAAGCGUUGUCCGGAAUUAUUGGGCGUAAAGAGCUCGUAGGCGGUGUGUUACGUCGGCCGUGAAAACCUGCAGCUUAACUGUGGGCGUGCGGUCGAUACGGGCAUCACUGGAGUUCGGCAGGGGAGACUGGAAUUCCCGGUGUAGCGGUGAAAUGCGCAGAUAUCGGGAAGAACACCCGUGGCGAAGGCGGCUCUCUGGGACGGUACUGACGCUGAGACGCGAAAGCGUGGGGAGCGAACAGG
rnacentral:rRNA from 1 species